UCUAUUUAUCCAUCACGCCGGGCCACGGGUAACGACGGGUCACACAGGCAGCACAGCCAGGAGCCAGCAGCGGCAGCUUUCCCUCUGUCACGCUCACACGCCUGCAGGCCGGCCAGCUCCAUUGCCAACCAUCGUCGAGCUUGCAGCUCGCUGGUCGCAUCGUCCGUCCAACGCCACCUAUGGCCGCCGCUCCUCCUGCCCGGCACCGGCACCGGCACCGGCACGCGCUGCUUAUUUUUGUUGUUGUUACUGCAGCUGCAGCAGGAGCAGACGCGCAGCAUCCGCCGUUGCCGGGGUUCUACCCGAGCAAGCGUUACCGCGCGCGUCCCUUCUCCCGCGACUUCCGCACCCUGUGGGGCGCGCAGCACCAGUCGGUGUCCGGCGGCGGCGGCGGCGGCGGCGUGACCAUCUGGCUGGACUCGACGUCCGGGAGCGGGUUCAAGUCGCGGCGGGCGUUCCGGUCGGGCUACUUCGGCGCGUCGGUGAAGCUGCAGGCCGGGUACACGGCCGGGGUCAUCACGGCCUUCUACCUGUCGAACGCGGACGCGCACCCGGGGUUCCACGACGAGGUGGACAUGGAGUUCCUGGGCACCACGCCGGGGCAGCCGUACACGCUGCAGACCAACGUGUACGUCCUCGGCUCCGGCGACGGCGGGCCUGGCAGGGUCGUCGGGCGGGAGGUCAAGUUCCGCCUGGACUGGUUCGACCCCACCGCCGACUUCCACCACUACGCCAUCCUCUGGAGCCCCACGCACAUCAUCUUCUACGUGGACGACGUGCCGAUCCGGCGGUAUCCGCGGCGGAGCGAGACGUUCCCGCGGCGGCCGAUGUGGGUGUACGGCUCCAUCUGGGACGCCUCCUCCUGGGCCACCGACGACGGCAGGUACAAGGCCGACUACCGCUACAGCCCCUUCGUAGCGCGCUUCUCGGGGCUGCUCCUCCGCGCCUGCUCGCCGCGCGCCCCGCCAAGGUGCCGCGCGCCAAGCGGCGGCCCGACCGGCGGCGGCGGCGAUGCGCUCAGCCCGCAGCAGGAGGCCGCCAUGCGGUGGGUGCAGCGCAAUCACAUGGUCUACAACUACUGCCUCGACCCCAAGCGAGACCACAGCCUCACCCCAGAGUGCAUUAUUCACCACGCAGCAGCUGGCGAUACCUACUACUAGCUAAUUACAUAAUUAGAUAUAUACAUAUUCAUCAGCUUAUGUAUGUGUCUACGUACCAUAUGUCCUAUCGCUAUAUAUCUCUAGUUUUGUUGUAAUAUUAAAGAGAUGACAUUUGCUUCAGCAGAUUCUGAGAAACACAUGCAUCUGUAUCCCAUUAUUUACACGUGGCCCCAC
rnacentral:misc_RNA from 1 species